UGUAUGAUCUAGUUUGCAACUCUUUCGAGUACUUUAAUCUAUAGGACCCUAUAGGUUAGAGUUGUAGUAUAGGUGCAAGUGUGGUGCUUAGACCUAGAUUACUUGUGGAUAUCCCCUGUCUAGCUGGAUUGUGUGGUAGGCCGCGUAGGUGACAUCUACGUUGGUCCUCUGUAGUCCACCUCCCGUUAGCAGAACUGGUAGGGUUUAUAGGCCUAUGUAUAAGCAUCCUUUGUGGUGUAUUCUUAUCACGUGGUUCGUCCCAGACAUAGACAUACCCCUUUGAAGUAGAGAAACCCUAGUUAUCCUCUCUAUUCUCCUACCAUUGCCCAUAUACUAGAUUGCUCUACUCUCUAUUUCCAUAUUAACACCCAUUGUUAUCUUACCUUUAAUAUUGUUCUUAUUCAAUUCUACCAUCUUUCCUAUUUACACCUACCUAUCUAUCUAGGUUAAGUUAGAGCGUAGAUCAGUUCUCCCAUUUCUCUGUGGACACGAUAAAACCUUUAACCGGGUAAUAGCUACAACGGUAUCCGUGCGCUUGUGGAUUUAUCUGUGUGCAUAUAAAUACCACAGUACACUCUAGUACCAUGCUGGGGAUGACAACCUAGUAUUCAAGUGGUGUUAGCAAGUGUCAACAAGCUUUUUGGCACCAUUGCCGAGGAAACGGUUGCUAAGUUGACUACGAAUUAGCUUAAUCAUUUUCUAAAAACAAAAAAAAAUAUUUUUCCUUUUAUCCUUUGCCUCAUCUCUGCUAUUCUUUCUUCUUAUCUAAUCCAUGAUCUCUAGUCUCAUGAAUUCAAACAUGUCUAUCUAUGAAUUUCAUAGACCUACGGGCACACAUCUCGAACCACCAAAAUCUUCAAAGCCUAUCAUGACAUCUAGUUUUGAGAUAAGCCUAGAAUACAUAGAAUUUCUUCAAAACAACCUUUCUCAGGAGAAGGUGAGGAAAACCCAUACACACACCUAGAAGAGUUUGGAUGAAUCUGUGACCUCCUUCGCAUAGAAGGCAUGUCCGAUAAGACCAUUCAAUGGAAGCUCUUUCCGUUCUCUUUAACGGGAAAAGCUAGACAUUGGUAUAAAUUCAAUGUAGGGAGUGAUC
rnacentral:lncRNA from 1 species